CGCCUGCCACAUGUGUGAACAAAGCUCACUCAUAUCCGGGCGGGAUUUUGAUGCGCUGUACAAAGGAGGAAACAGUGCUGGGGUCCAGACCCAGGGGAACUGAGUCUUCACCCUCUACUUUUUCCACUGUGCCAGGCUGCCUUCCACUGAACGCGUGAAAAGUUUGGCCUGCAAGUCGGUGGAUGUGGCUGAAAGAAUACAUCCAUUAUUCUCAAAGGAGGCAAGGAAGGUGGCGUGAUGCAGACACGAAAACAUAUUCUUGGAAGAAAAUUAACGUGCCGGCUGAAUUAGUCGCUCUGUUGGUAUUCACUGAGCCAGAGAAAGAAAAAAACAAGGAAGCCAACAAUACAAACAAGGAAGCCAGCCAUAAGAAAGGCAAAGGUGACUUUACGAACCGGUCCUCCCCAUGCGUGUGUUAGUUCUGGAUUAUUAAAUCAAUAUAGAUUUUACACUGGCCCCCUGAAACGCCAACAAUGUGACAUUGAGAAGUCAUGCUUCAUGCUACCGACUGUGGAAGGAAGGAUACAACAUAACUCCAAGUCUGGCACCUUGGCAUCGUUGGAAAGUCAACAUCUGUCAUCCUUUGACGUUUGCUACCCAUCCAACAGAGAAACCAAUAAGAAGAAAUGCAUUUUAGCCAGGAAAGGAGUAAUAACCUGCCCAGCAAUGAAUGACUGACAAGCCCAUGGGAGAGAGGUGAAAACAGAAAGUUCAGCAGAGACUGACUUGGCCUCUGAGGAAGAUGGCAUUUGACAUAAUUGGGACAGCUAGAAGGCUGUGGCCCAGUGUAAGAGGUAUAAUCACCUUAAACAAACAGAUUGGUC
rnacentral:lncRNA from 1 species